rnacentral:snRNA from 1 species
GAUCACCUUAUACUAAUGCCAGGGCCUUAUGCAAGACCCGGUGUACAAUUUUUGGAGACUCGUCCAUUAGGACGAGUUA